CCAUGUGAUAGAUGAAAAACAACUAGUCAACUUCACCACACAAGCCUUUAGCAAUUGUGAGAAUAUUUCAUAAAUAUGGAAAACCAAAUGAGAGUGCAUUACGAUCUUUCAAAAUGAACACAACAACAAAACAAAAUAGAGACACCACAAAUGCCAGAGUAGCAGAAAGCAAUACAAUAGAUCAACAUGACCUCAAAGGCUUGGAGAUUGUGUGAAAGAAAGGAAUCCAGAAAAACAAGCCA
rnacentral:misc_RNA from 1 species